UCAUUUAAAGAGAGAAAAUAUCCCCCAAUAGCUUCAGCAAGGGUUUAGCUUAUUACUAUUAUUAUUAUUAUUAUAUUAUUAUUAUUAUUAUUUGCUUAUUGUGAGCUUAUUCCUGAGGACAGUCGCCUACACUUAGGGACCAGGGACCUCCUAAGCCAAUUAGCACAUCAUUGUAAUUGUAUUUAUUAUACUGAUCCCUGUCUGUCAAUAUAUUGUUCUACUGUACAGCACUGAGUACACUGUGAGCUCUGUAUAAAUAGAUCUAUAUCUGUACAAACUAUGGAUAUAGAGGAAGGAAAGUAAAUGAAAUGAGACGUGAGGCUGAGCUGAUCCCUGGGAUACAAAUCUAUAGCAAUAAAGCAGUGACACCAGGUUAAAUACACAGAAGGACAAAGUACAAAAUAAUAACCGAUUCUUUGGGAGGGAGAUAAAUACUUUUAUGUUAUACUCAGAUUGGGGGGCGGGGUAUGAUCAGUUUAUUAUAUGCAUUAGGGGUAAAUAAUAGUAAAUGAUUCACCAGUUUGGGGCUAAAGUUCAUAUCAAUAGGGUAGAGCAGAUAAAGAGGUGCCAGAAAUGACUCUGAGCCCCGGGGCUCCCACCCUGACAAACAUUAGCCCCUAAUUUACAACUCGUCAUACAGAGAAUUAGGGGGGCUGCUAAACUGACCCACACCCCCAACAUGCCCCGUCUGGGGUUUCUCUACCUUUUCCUCCUGCACCAAACUGUAGGUGCCACCUUGCAACUUUCUGCUCCUCCAUCUCUCCAUGCCUUGGUUGGAUCUGACAUACAUCUCCCAUGCACUUCUUCAGUUGGCAACGCUUCUCUGAUCCUGAAUUACCUGGCGGUGAUCUGGUACUUCCAGAACCAAGAAAUCUUGAGAUUUGAUAACAAAGGCUUCAGUUCCACACCCAGGAGAUCAUUUAACCAGCAGACAGCCGGCAAUGGCAACUUCUCUUUGACUUUAUCCAAUGUGAGGAUCUCAGAUGAUGGGAUUUACACAUGUGUUGUGGUCUAUAGUCCUAAGAAAGAAGAAAGAGAGAUCAUGCUGAAUGUUCUUGAUCCACCCGAAGUCGCAAUAACUCACAAACACAGAAAUACUUUAUCCUGUUCAGCUACUGGUUUCUACCCCAAGGAGAUUAACAUAACUUGGAUAAGCGGUGGGGAAGUCCUUGGUGUCCAUGUGUUGGGAAAACCACAUCAAGGUUCAGAUGGGACAUACAGUGUGAGCAGUACUCUGACUAUCCCUUGGGCAAAUGUCUCAGGGUACAAGAACUUCUCCUGCAGAGUCCAGCAACCAUCUCACCCCCAGUUUCAUCAGAAAGAGUUCCUACUGGAAUAUACAGAGACAGACUCUACCAUUAUUUUGGUGUUGUGUGUCAUUGUACCGCUUUUGGUAAUCGCUGCCUUUAUAUUCUGGAUCUGGAAACGCAAGAAAAAAUCCACAUUCUCACUGAAACCAAUUGUGGGGCCAAGAACACUGAUCGUUGGAGAGGAGACCAAACUGCAGUGCACUGGGACCAACUGCGCUAGUGAUGUGCAGGUCAUCUGGUCAGUGAAGGGAGGAGGAAGUGAUGAGUGGAUUGUGAUAAACCAAUCGGGAGAGGAGGAGGCCACAGAACCUCUGCUCAUUGGUCAGUACGUGGUACAUUGUGAGAAGGAGGGAAAUAACCACAUAGCGACUCUGACUUUCACUCCGCACCUGGAAACUCACAAGGGAGCAACGUUUAGCUGUAAAUUUGUCAGUGGUGGGAAAACCAAAGAGAAACAUUUUCACACUAAAACUAUUCAAGUAAAGCCCAAGGUGCAGGAGCCAAUAAAUAUCACAUUCCAGGGGUCCCAGAAUCUGGACCUGACCCUAAACCUGCAGAGAUUUUACCCUAAAGACAUCAAGAUAAAGUGGGACUGUGGAGAGGAGACCCAACAACCUUCCAAGGAAGACUGGAGCGAAAACUCUGAUCUAACGUGGGACGUCACAAGUGUUUGUAGUCUCCCAAAGGGUCUCUUUAAGGAUAAAGCCUUCAGGGUGCGAGUGACCUGGGAACAUGAGUCAAUGGGUGACCCCGAAUCCAGAGAAGUAUCUGUGGCAGAUUUCCCCUGGCGCCCCCAAAUGGAGGAUAUGAAAACUCGAGUACUGAAGAAGAAUGUGGAAGUCUCCCUGAAGUGCAGGAUCUCUGGUUAUUACCCCGAUGAUCUCACUGUGCACUGGUUUAGACUGGAGAAAAGAGACAAGAAGGAAUCUCCACUGGAUACAGAGACCUACAGACAGACACUUACUGACUCACAGGAGCAGGGGGAUAAGACUUUUACCUGUCACUCCAGUGUCACUUUUAUUCCUACAAUUAAAUCUGAUAAUGAGACAGAAUUUAUGUGCAGAGUGGAACAUCCCACUGGGACAGUAGAGAAGCGCUCAGGAAAGUUACAUGUAAAUUAACCUAAAGGAAAAUAGAAUCUUCAUCUCCAAUUAGCAGGGGUGGGAAUUCGGGGCUCAUCUUCUCCCAGAACUUUGCAGUUGAGCAGUGCAGGUGGGUAAAGACACUAUGGGGAAUAUUUAACAAACACACUGGUCUGGGAGGAUGAUGAAGGGAAUGCAGAGAGGGUGCAGAGAGGGUGCAGAGAUUGUGGGAGUUGCAGCAAUGGGUCAGAUCUCAUCUCCACUGCACAAUGAGGAAGCCAAGGCCUGGCAGGGUGGUCUGCACCCGGGCCCCACAUUAGGUAGUUAUGUUAUUGCACAUUCCUACUGCUAUUGCUGAGAGGUGUAUGUAUAUACAGUAAUAGCCCAUAUUGAAUAACCUGCCCAACUGCAACAUCUACAGAACCUUUAGAAAUUGAAACCUCUAACAAAAAUCCAGUCCAAUUUAGGCUUAUUAAAGGAAGGAUUUAUUGAAGCGAUGCAAGACAGUGAAUGAAAUAGACCUGACAAAGUUCUUAGAUGAUGCUAGAGAGUACAACGUAUUGGAAUGGAAAUUCUUCUUUUCUCCAGUAGUAGUUUUCCAAUACCUUUCCUCUUCCUCUGAUGGAUAUUUUCCUUUCUCUCAGUUUAUAAUUGAGCUCUAGAUGUUUCAUUUCUUCUUGAUGGAGUUAGAAGUCAAGAUGAGCUAAAUUGUACUUUUAGAGCCGUCCAUUUGUACAACUUUGACUUAGGAAUUCCUUUGAUGGACUUAGGAACCAAUGAGAAAAGAGUCCUUUGUCUUUAAACCCAAAGUCCUUUAGUGUAAUCACCAAAAGAUGCCACUGUUGUAUCUCUUAUUUUCCCUUUCUUGCAUGUCUCUUUAAAUAUCCGACACUUACAAUUAUUAUGGAAACAACACAUUUCUAUUAAAUAACUUACAUUAAUGGAUUAAUUAACAUUAAUAUAUAAAAUACAUAACAAAUACAUAGAACAAAUCAGAGAUAGAUGUAUGUAUAAACAUAAUCUUAAUAAAAGAUAAUACAACACAUUUUUUCACCAGUUUAUACUUGUUCUUUGACCCUAGGUAUCUGAGACACCAUCCAAAUGUAGGUUCCCAGGCCAUUAAGUGCCGGCCAUGCUCUUAAAAAGAAAUAUACCUUGUUCUUACAUCUGUUUUCCAAAAUAUAUAUUACAACAGACCAUAAUUUUUAGGAACUUUUUGUCUGUCUCGAGUUAUCUUUCAACUAUCCUUGUGAGAUUGGAAUAUCAGGCCUGUUUCCAUGAGAGAAUAUCUGUGUUUAGGACUUCACAAUAAUCUAUGAGCCCAAUAUUCUUCAAGAACUCUCAGCGUUCCUUUUAUUAUUACUCCUAUUAUUUACCUGUAUUGCAGCCAAAUUCUCAUUCUGUUAUUUCAAUGGAAAUGCAAAUACACUGGAAUGAAAGUAAAUAUAUUUAUAUAUAUAUAAUUGGUGCCUUAUCAAGGCCUGAGAAUAAACAUGGGGUACAGCAGUUUCCCUGUUACAGUUUGUGCCGGGUGGGUGUGAAUGUGGGGUGAAUGUACCGAGUCUGAUUCAGUCACUGUCACAUAUAAUAACACACAGCGAUACCAAUCACACUUGUUCAACAUGACUUUGUGUUCUACUUUGUCUAUUGUUUUGCUGGAGAAAUAUAUAAAAUAGACUGAAACUCUAACCUGUUUCACUUUCCUGUUUCCUGUGAUUCUCCUGAGCAAAUGUGGGAAGAGGAAAAGGCAAUUACUCAAAUUCCCAGACCACAGAUAAACCUUUCUGAGAAAUGAAUUACUCCUUAUCUGAAAGCCUGACAUAGACUGAGGCUGGGAAAGGGAGGGGGUUGUUUAUACAGAGCUCACUUCCCCAUUUAAACCAAUAAUUUAAUACAGAGUGGGGGGUACAGAUAAAACAAGACAAAUAUCUAUAAGGGAAAUUGUAAUUUAACAAAGAAAAUAGGCAGAACACAUUUUCCAUAUGGUAUUGGUGUUUACUUCCCCUUUAAUCUGUUCUUAUCUCUACAUCACCAUUUUUGGUUUGUGCAGCGAAUAAGGACUGAGCUGUGAUAAGAUGAAUAUUCAAAGGUUAGAAUCCUACCGGCUGCUCUAAA